UGUAGGUGACAGUCAGGAGGAAUGUGACUCCUCUCCUCUCCAGCCUGGUGUCCCUGUCAGUGUAGGUGACAGUCAGGGGGAAUGUGACUCCUCUCCUCUCCAGCCUGGUGUCCCUGUCAGUGUAGGUGACAGUCAGGGGGAAUGUGACUCCUCUCCUCUCCAGCCUGGUGUCCCUGUCAGUGUAGGUGACAGUCAGGGGGAAUGUGACUCCUCUCCUCUCCAGCCUGGUGUCCCUGUCAGUGUAGGUGACAGUCAGGGGGAAUGUGACUCCUCCCCAGCCAGGUGUCCCUGUCAGUGUAGGUGACAGUCAGGGGGAAUGUGACUCCUCCCCAGCCAGGUGUCCCUGUCAGUGUAGGUGACAGUCAGGGGGAAUGUGACUCCUCUCCUCUCCAGCCUGGUGUCCCUGUCAGAGUAGGUGACAGUCAGGGGGAAUGUGACUCCUCUCCUCUCCAG